UCUUGGAGUUGGCUUCCCACAGAGGUAUAGGAUGAUUAAGUUCCAGCCAUUGCUAUGGCACUCUACAUUUGUGUGAUAGAGCCAUGAGUGUUCUACUUAUGAUGGAUAUGUGCUGCCGAAGUGAGCACGCCGGUAUAUUGUUAAAGUAACUUUAUAAGGCUGGAAGUUGUACAUCAUUACGGUAAAUGUAACGAUGGCUCUGGAUACGGCUACCACUGAUAAUAUUGACUCAGUUUAUGCUACUGAGGGUGUCUUUUUUGCUUUAUUUUCUAAUGUUCCAAAUGGAAACUGUACCCAGCCCCUCUCAAAAAGCUUAGUUUGCCACAAAGGCUGUUGAGCUGAAUUUGAUCCUUCCAUCCAUGUGAAGGAGAAAGAAAACCAACUGUAAGUUAUCCUCUGAGCUUCCUCUACUUCAGUGAUUUUAUGCUUUUAUGAAAUUUAAGAAUCCAGUUACGAUCUCAUUUGUUCAUAUUUAGCUAUGUGCUGCAUUAAUUUCAAGAUGAGAUUUAUAUGUGAGUGGUGUUGAGUCUUUCUUGCUGUGUCCUGGGGAACAGAAACAGAGACACAUUCAUGAAGCCCAGCACUCUAAAACUAAACUACCUCUCUGGGCCUUUUGAACU
rnacentral:lncRNA from 1 species